UAAGGAAUAUUGGACAAUGGCCGCAAGGCUGAUCCAGCCAUGCCGCGUGCAGGAAGACGGACCUAUGGUUUGUAAACUGCUUUUGAACCAGAGAAAACCCCCUCACGUGUAAGGGGCUGAUAGUAUGGUUAGAAUAAGCAUCGGCUAACUUCGUGCCAGCAGCCGCGGUAAGACGAAGGAUGCAAGCGUUAUCCGGAUUCAUUGGGUUUAAAGGGAGCGUAGGCGGAUUUGUAAGUCAGUGGUGAAAUCUCUUCGCUUAACGAAGGAACUGCCAUUGAUAAUGCGGAUCUUGAGUACAGUGGCCGUUGGCGGAAUAUGACAUGUAGUGGUGAAAUACUUAGGUAUGUCGUAGAACACCGAUUGCGAAGGCAGCUAACGAAGCUGUAACUGACGCUGAGGCUCGAAAGUGCGGGGAUCAAACAGG
rnacentral:rRNA from 1 species